rnacentral:rRNA from 1 species
AACGAACGCUGGCGGCAGGCUUAACACAUGCAAGUCGAGCGCCCCGCACGGGGAGCGGCAGACGGGUGAGUAACGCGCGGGAAUCUACCCAUCUCUACGGAAUAACGCAUGGAAACGUGUGCUAAUACCGUAUACGUCCUUCGGGAGAAAGAUUUAUCGGAGAUGGAUGAGCCCGCGUUGGAUUAGCUAGUUGGUGGGGUAAAGGCCUACCAAGGCGACGAUCCAUAGCUGGUCUGAGAGGAUGAUCAGCCACACUGGGACUGAGACACGGCCCAGACUCCUACGGGAGGCAGCAGUGGGGAAUAUUGGACAAUGGGCGCAAGCCUGAUCCAGCCAUGCCGCGUGAGUGAUGAAGGCCCUAGGGUUGUAAAGCUCUUUCACCGGUGAAGAUAAUGACGGUAACCGGAGAAGAAGCCCCGGCUAACUUCGUGCCAGCCGCCGCAGUAACAC